AGUGAACGCUGGCGGUAGGCCUAACAUAUGCAAGUCGAACGGCAGCACAGUAAGAGCUUGCUCUUACGGGUGGCGAGUGGCGGACGGGUGAGGAAUACAUCGGAAUCUACUUUUUCGUGGGGGAUAACGUAGGGAAACUUACGCUAAUACCGCAUACGACCUACGGGUGAAAGCAGGGGAUCUUCGGACCUUGCGCGAUUGAAUGAGCCGAUGUCGGAUUAGCUAGUUGGCGGGGUAAAGGCCCACCAAGGCGACGAUCCGUAGCUGGUCUGAGAGGAUGAUCAGCCACACUGGAACUGAGACACGGUCCAGACUCCUACGGGAGGCAGCAGUGGGGAAUAUUGGACAAUGGGCGCAGGCCUGAUCCAGCCAUACCGCGUGGGUGAAGAAGGCCUUCGGGUUGUAAAGCCCUUUUGUUGGGAAAGAAAAGCAGCAGGUUAAUACCCCGCUGUUCUGACGGUACCCAAAGAAUAAGCACCGGCUAACUUCGUG
rnacentral:rRNA from 1 species